rnacentral:lncRNA from 1 species
ACACUGGGACCGGACGCAUUUCCAUGGCGUGGUCCCAGGAUUAUUACAGAGUGAACUGAAUUGGAUGCAAGAUCACGGUACAGAAUGUGCCAGACCCAUCUGUACCAGCCUGGAUCUCUUGAGGCAUCAGCACAAUGGACCUGGCCACACCAGUUUAUUCCACACCGCUGAGGCUGGUACAGUUCUGGACAUGGACUUUUUCCAGGCUACAUGUGCAGGAUGUACAGGUUUGUUACAUAGGUAAAAACAUGGUGGUUUGCUGCAACUGUCAACCCAUCACCUAGAUAUUAAGCCCAGCAUGCAUUAGCUAUUUAUCCUGAUGCUCUCCCCACCCCUGCCCCAACAGGCCCCACUGUAUGUUGUUCCCCUCUUUUUUGUUCACUUAAAAGAUCCCACUUUUAAGUGAGAGUAUGCAGUGUUUGGUUUUCUGUUCCUGUGUUACUUUGCUGAGGAUAAUGGCCUCCAGCUCCAUCCAUGUCCCUGCAAAGUACAUGAUCUCAUUCCUUUUUAUGUCUGCAUAGUAUUCCAUGGUAUAUAUGUACCAUAUUUUCCUUAUCUAGUCUAUCAUUUAUGGGCAUUUGGGUUGAUUCCAUGUCUUUGCUACUGUGAAUAGUGCUGCAAUGAACAUAUGCUUGCAUGUAUCAUUAUUUUUUUAUUUUUUUUGAGAUGGAGUCUUACUCCCUCACCCAGGCUGGAGUGCAAUGGUGCAAUCUCUGCUCACUGCAACCUCCUCCUCCCGGGUUCAAGCAAUUCUCGUGCCUCAGCCUCCCGAGUAGCUGGGACUACAGGUGCCUGCCACCACACCCGGCUAAUUUUUUUGUUUUUUUGUAUUUUUAGUAGAGACGGGGUUUUACCAUGUUGUUCAGGCUGGUCUCGAACUCCUAUCCUCAGAUGAUCCACCCUCCUGAGCUUCCCAAAGUGCUGGGAUUACAGGCAUGAGCAACCACACCCAGCCACAUGUAUCUUUAUAAUAUAAUGAUUUAUUCCUUUGGGUACACACCCAGCAAUGGGAUUGCUAGGUCAAAUGCUAUUUCUGGUUCUAGGUCUUUGAGGAAUCACCACACUGUCUUCCACAAUGGUUGUACUAAUUUACAUUUGCUGGUGCUGUUUUCUACAUUGAAUCUGAGGGCUACUGUAUGAUGUGUAAGACACUUUCUGAUUGGAGCCUCACAAUGAUCCUACCAGGACCGACUCUCAGGAGAUGAAGAUCCAAUCACUCUAUCAAAGAAUAUGAGCAUUUCCGAGGCUCUUGUAAGACAUCCAGCCUCCAGAACUGUGAGUACUAUGCUGAAGAGAGCCCUCAUCAGCACCUGACCAACCUGACCAUGCUGCACCCUCAUCUUAGACGUUCAGCCUCCAGAACUGUGAAUACUAUGCUGAAGAGAGCCCUCACCAGCACCUGACCAUGCUGCACCCUCAUCUCAGAUGUCCAGCCUCCAGAACUGUAAUCCAAGAGCCAAAUCAUGAAUGAACUACCAUUCACAACUGCCACAAAAGAAUAAAAUAUGUAGGAAUACAUCUAACAGGGGAAGUGAAGGACCUUUUCGAGAAGAACUACAAACCACUGCUCAGAGAAAUCUGGGAUGACACAAACAAGUGGGAAAGCAUUCCAUGCUCAUGGAUAGGAAGAAUCAAUAUCAUGAAAAUGGCCAUAUUGCCCAAAGCGAUUUAUAGAUUCAAUGCUGUUCCCAUUAAACUACUAUUGAGAUUCUUCAUAGAAUUAGAAAAAACUUUUAAAAUUCAUAUGGGGCUGGGUGCAGCGGCUCACGCUUGUAAUCCCAGCACUUUGGAAGGCCGAGUUGGGAGGAUCACUUGAGUUCAGGGGUUCAAGACCAGCCUGGCCAACAUGGUGAAACCCCCAUCUCCACUGAAAAUACAAAAAUUAGCUGGGCAUGAUGGUUGGCAUCUGUAAUCCCAGCUACUCGGGAGACUGAGACAUGAGAAUCACUUGAACCUGGGAGGUGGAGGUUGCAGUGAGCCAGGAGCACACCACUGCACUCCAGCCUGGGUGACAGAGAGUCAGUCUCAAAAAAAAAAAAAAAAAUCAUAUGGAACUGAAAAAGAGCCUGAAUAGCCAAGACAAUCCUAAGAAAACAAACAAACAAACAAACAAACAAACCAAAGCUGGAGGCCUCUCCAAAUUAUACCACAAGACUACAGUAACUAAAAAAGCAUGGUACUGGUACAAGAACAGACACAGAGACCAAUGGAACAGAAUAGGGAACCCAGAAAUAAAACUGCACACCUACAAUCAUCUGAUCUUCAGCCAAGUCAACAAUAACAAGCAAUGGAAAAAGGAUUCCCUAUUUAAUAAACCAUGCUGGGAGAACUGGCUAGUCAUAUGGAAAAAAUGGAAACUUCUUUACAUUAUGUGCAAAAAUCACCUCAAGAUGGAUUAAAGACUUAAAUGUAAAACCCAAAACUAUAAAAACCCCAGACAAAAAUCUAGGCAAUACCAUUCAGGACAUAGGCAUGGGCAAAGACUUCAUGACAAAGAUGUCAAAAGCAAUAGCAUUUGACCCAACGAUGCCAUUACUGGGUAUAUACCCAAAGGAAUACAAAUCAUUCUAUUAUAAAGAUACAUGCACAUGUAUGUUCACUGCAGCACUAUUCACAAUAGCAAAGACAUGGAAUCAACUUAAAUGCCCGUCAAUAAUAGAUGGGAUAAAGAAAAUGUGGUACAUAUACACCAUGGAAUACUAUGCAGACAUAAAAAGGAAUGAGAUCAUGUCGUUUGCAGGGACAUGGAUGGAGCUAGAAGCCAUUAUCCUCAGAAAACUAACACAGGAACAGAAAACCAAAUACCACAUGUUCUCACUUAUAAGUGGGAGCUGAAUGAUGAGAACACAUGGACACGUGGUGCGGGAACAAUACACCUGGGGCCUGUUGGAGGGUGGGGGCUGGGAGGAGGGAGAGCAUCAAGAAUAGCUAAUGAGGCCAGGCACAGUGGCUCACGCCUGUAAUCCUAGCAUUUUGGGAGGCUGAGGCGGGCAGAUCAUUUGAGGUCAGGAGUUUGAGACCAGCCUGGCCAAUAUGGUGAAACCCCGUCUCUAUUAAAAAUACAAAAAUAUUAGCCAGGCAUGGUGGCAAUGCCCGUAGUCCCUGCAACUUGGGAGGCUGAGGCAGGAGAAUCGUUUGAACCUGGGAGGUGGAGUUUGCAGUGAGCCAAGAUCGCGCCACUGCACUCCAGCCUGGGCGACAGAGUGAGGCUCCAUUAAAAAAAAAAAAAAAAAAAGAAGAGCAAAUGAAUGCUGGGCAUAAUAUCUAGAUGAUGGGAUGAUCUGUGCAGCAAACCACUAUGGCACAUGUUUACCUAUGUAACAAACCUGCACAUCCUCCACAUGUACCCCUGAACUUAAGAGUUGGAAAUCAAAAAGAAAAAAGGUAUUAACUCAAAAUAAAAACAGUGUGUACUAUUUUUCUAAUCAGCAAAUGUUAUUUUAUUUUUUACUAUUAUUUUUAGAGUCGAUAUCUUGCUCUGUCACACAGUCUGGAGUGCAGUGGCAUGAUUAGCUUUGAAUUCCUGUUCAAGUGAUCCUCCCACCUCAGUCUCCAGAGUAGCUAGGGCUACAGGCAGUGCUGCCACACCUGGAUAAUUUUUAAAUUUUUUAUAGAGUUGGGGUCUUGCUAUGUUGCCCAGGCUUGUCUCAGACUCCUGGCCUUAAGUGAUCCUCCUGCCUCUGUCUUCUGAGUCGCUGGAUUACAGGUAUGAGCCACCAUGCUCAGCAGAAAAUUAAAUUUUUUUUUAACAAGUCAUUAGUUCCUGGGAAUUCUAUUUCACUUCCAAAUCCACCUCAUUUUGCAGUGCCCUGUUCUUAGUAGUCCUGGUUUAGGAAGAGUCGUGUUUCACAUGAUCAAGGUAGCCAACACAAUGAAAGUUGAGUUCACAGAGUAUUUAUUUAUUUUGGUCCCUCACAGAGUAUCUAUUUAUUUUUGGUCCCUCACAGAGUAUUUGUUUAUUUUUGUUCCCUCAAAUAAUUCAGCACAAUUAAAUUCAGCAAAUAUUUAUUGAACACUUGGAGAUGAUGAUGGAAAAUUAUGUUCACAUGGUGCCAUUUGGUACAACGGAAAUGGCAUGAGAUUUGGACCAAACCAGAAUUGUCUUAAAUCCUGGCUUUGUUAGUUUUAGGUAUGUCAUCUUGAGCAGUUCACUUCACUUUUUGAGCCACAAUUUCUCUUCCUUACAUAAAGAUAUUUAUAAAUACCCCACAGGUUGUUAUAAUAAAGGUUGAAGAUGCUUGGCACAUAAGCAAAAAUUAUGAAUAAAUAUGUAUUAAAAUAUAAAAUAACUACAAAAUAAAAUAAAAAUAUUGUUUUUCUCACCACAUGUCAGUAUCUUUACACAUAUAAUCUAAUUUUAUCCUUACAGGAUUGCUAGCCUGGUGUG